AGUUUGAUCCUGGCUCAGGAUGAACGCUAGCGGCAGGCCUAAUACAUGCAAGUCGAACGGUGGUAGCGAUACCAUAGUGGCGCACGGGUGCGUAACGCGUAGCCAACCUACCCGAAUCUGGGGGAUAGCCCGCCGAAAGGCGGAUUAAUACCGCAUAAGACUACAGAAUGGCAUCAUUUUGUAGUUAAAGAUUUAUUGGAUUCGGAUGGGGCUGCGUGCCAUUAGCUAGUUGGGGGGGUAACGGCCCACCAAGGCGACGAUGGCUAGGGGAGCUGAGAGGCUGGUCCCCCACACGGGCACUGAGAUACGGGCCCGACUCCUACGGGAGGCAGCAGUAGGGAAUAUUGGGCAAUGGGCGAGAGCCUGACCCAGCCAUGCCGCGUGCCGGAUGAAGGCCUUCUGGGUCGUAAACGGCUUUUUUCCGGGAAGAACCGGUUCCUUGCGAGGGGCUCUGACGGUACCGGGAGAAUAAGCACCGGCUAACUCCGUGCCAGCAGCCGCGGUAAUACGGAGGGUGCGAGCGUUGUCCGGAUUUAUUGGGUUUAAAGGGUGCGUAGGCGGCCGCGUAAGUCUGGGGUGAAAGCCCGUUGCUCAACAACGGAACUGCCCUGGAAACUGCGUGGCUUGAGUCCAGACGAGGUUGGCGAAAAAAGACGGUGUAGCGGUGAAAUGCAUAGAUACCGUCCAGAACACCGAUUGCGAAGGCAGCUGACUAGGCUGGUACUGACGCUGAGGCACGAAAGCGUGGGGAGCGAACAGGAUUAGAUACCCUGGUAGUCCACGCCGUAAACGAUGGAUACUCGCUGCCAGCGAUAGAUAGUUGGUGGCUUAGCGAAAGCGUUAAGUAUCCCACCUGGGGAGUACGCCCGCAAGGGUGAAACUCAAAGGAAUUGACGGGGGCCCGCACAAGUGGUGGAGCAUGUGGUUUAAUUCGAUGAUACGCGAGGAACCUUACCUAGGCUAGAAUGCGCGUGACCGGUUCGGAGACGAACCUUUCCUUCGGGACAUCAAAGCAAGGUGCUGCAUGGCUGUCGUCAGCUCGUG
rnacentral:rRNA from 1 species